rnacentral:ncRNA from 1 species
UAAAUCGCGAUGAUAGGGAAUAGUAAGCGCCGUUAAGUAAAGUCGCAGAGAGCCUCCGGCUGGUGCAAGGGGGUCUUUACACGGUGCUGAACUCCCCCUGGAGAUGCCGGCCGAAAUUUUAAAGAGUAGGCUCGGACGGAGCUUUCGCCGUUAAAAGAAAGGGAGUAUCGGAAAGGUUGUUCUUUUCCCGUACUUUAUAAUAAGCGAGCGGCUAGAUGUGUUUUAUUGAUCUUAGCCGUUAAGUUGAGUGGUACCGCGAAGAAAUCCCCUUCGUCUCAACG